GCUGACGUAGCUCAGUUGGUAGAGCACAUCCUUGGUAAGGAUGAGGUCACCGGUUCAAUCCCGGUCGUCAGCU
rfam:Ignavibacteria bacterium RBG_16_35_7 RBG_16_scaffold_7855, whole genome shotgun sequence.